rnacentral:rRNA from 1 species
GUUAGGAAUAUUGGACAAUGGGCGCAAGCCUGAUCCAGCCAUGCCGCGUGAGUGAUGAAGGCCUUCGGGUUGUAAAGCUCUUUAGCCGAUGAUUAUAAUGACUGUAGUCGGAAAAUAAGCCCCGGCUAACUUCGUGCCAGCAGCCGCGGUAAUACGAAGGGGGCGAGCGUUAUUCGGAAUCACUGGGCGUAAAGCGUGCGUAGGCGGCUUUGCAAGUUGGGAGUGAAAGCCCAGGGCUCAACCCUGGAAUUGCUCUCAAAACUGCAAGGCUCGAAUUCGGGAGAGGAUAGCGGAAUUGUCAGUGUAGCAGUGAAAUGCGUAGAUAUUGACAGGAACACCAGUGGCGUAAGCGGCUAUCUGGACCGAUAUUGACGCUGAGGCACGAAAGCGUGGGGAUCAAACAGGAUUAGAUUACCCCGGUAGUCC